rnacentral:lncRNA from 1 species
CCUGGUUCUCUUGCUUCUCACGGGAUCCGUUGGUGGAGUGGCUGAAUGAGUGUUUAAUGUUAAUGUUUUAUAUGUUUGUGUGUAUGUGUGUGUGUGUGUCUGUAUGUACAUUUAUGUGUGCAUGUUGAACUGUAGUUUCAGACUAUAGUCCUGAAAAAUUCUAGAACACUUUGAGCUUUAUGGAUUGUUAGACUAUGCAAGAAAUUAUCUGUGUGAGUUGUGUUUGGGUUAGGUAUUAAAAAUAUAUAUUGCUAGAGGUGUUUGUUGGAGGAAGUUUUAUACAAUGGAAAAACAUGCCCUACCAUGCGGAUACAUACUGUACACAAAAAGAUGAUCAAUCCAGAUCUUCGCUAAUACAAAGAAAAUAUGACCCAUAGCACUUGACUCUGUAGGUCAGAAAUUGAAACAGAUAUUCCCAUAAAACUCUGGAGAAUGAUGAAGGCCUCGGGGAAGCAAGUCUACACUGUUUCUCUUUCCAGUGCUUUCUCGAAUAAGUGUAAAACAUUAGUGAGGCUUCAUCUGAAGGUCAGAAAGUUUACACAGUUGGAGUUAUAUGAGUAUCAGGCUUUCUGAAUUAAGAUUCAGAAUUCAUAUCUAAAAUUUGAGGCUGUGCACUGUUCCACAUGACUGAUUUUUUUUCUGAUACAUAAGAUAUUAUUUUCCAGUAUAAUUAAUGUCAAUCUACUGACAUCAGUGAAAUGCACAUGAAAUUCUAAAUGAAUGUGCCAUUAGAUGUAACUCUUAGUUGUUACCUAAAGUCAGGGAGCAACACCAAAAACAGAAAUAACCUUCCUUUAUACCAGGAACUGUCAAUACAGCAUAUUUUUAACAUGAUGAGCUGUAGAGGGAAAAUAUUCGUGUAUUCUUCAAGAUCAAAUGUUCAUAAAUCUGGAGACCAAGAAUUAUUCACAUUUUGAGUUUUUGUAGAAUUCUGCUAAGUAAGGUAUUAGAGUACUCCAUGAUCACUCAGCAAACUAGUACUGGUAUUGAUUUCUAAUUUUGUCCAAUUUCCUUUAAAACUUUCUCUUUGAUAUUUUUGUAGCUCUAGCACCCUUGAACACAUGAUUGAGGUAGUUUUGGCCUCACAGAUGGAACAGCUUGAUGCUUGCUCAAAAAGUGGACUCUUUAGUAUGGUUAUUUGGAUGAUGGUUUUGAUUCGGAGAGUCAAAAGCCAUGGUAUGUGAGGGGAGUGCAUUCUUCAUGAAGAGAGGCCAUCUUCUGCAUUCUCCUUCCUGUGGCUGAAGAGUGGGGCACUCAACUUGUUGCUUUCUGUCAAGGCUACAAGCCAGGAUACUACACUUAAUUGACAUAUCUUCUUAAACGCCUCUGAUUUGUGACGGUUUCUCAGUCUUUCCUGCUUUUCAUGACCUUGAUGCCUUUGAAGAGAAGUGAAGUGAGAUCUCACUACGUUGCCCAGGCUGGUCUUGAACUCCUAACCUCAAGUGAUCCUCCCAUCUCAGCAUCCCAAAGUGUUGGGAUUACAGGUACGAACCACUGCGCCUGGCCAAUAAGUUCUUUAAGCAUGCUCUCGAAAGUGUGUUUUGGGAUCUCCAGUGGCUAUUUAAAUAUUUGUGCUUGGCUUGACAUCUUUUGAACACUAAUGUUGCAUUAGAGGAAUUUGGUACAUUAGACGUCCUGCCUACACAAGCUAGAAGCCCUUCUUUUCAUAAUGUCCUUCAAAACAGAUUUUAGAAAAAGGUCCAAGGCUCUUUCAAUUAGACAAAUGCACAUAAGAGUCUGAUUCAGGUGACAGUGAUGUGAGAAAAAGGAUGCUGGGUAGAAUUUAUCUGGGAAGAUACAAGUUAUGAUGAAGAGAGGUCUGGCUGUCAGAGCAUCCUAUGGCUGGAGCUGGCUUUGGGAGUCCCAGGGUUUGAGCUUGGAGGUGGCUGCUGGAAGGUCUCCACUGGAGUAGCCUGCAGUCUAAUCUAGGAACUGGAAUCUCUAGUCUUAAAAAGUCUUGAGUCCUUGCAGAGGCUCAGUGAGCUGCCUCUAUCCAUAUAUAUAUAUAUAUGACAUUAUAUAUAGCUAAAGUGGAUAUUCUUGUAAAACCAGCACUAAGAGAUAACCAAACUUUCAAACACUGACUUUCAAUUCUUAUUUUGAUAUCCCAUGUAGCUGUUAAUAGAAAGAAGCAUAGCAGAUGUUUUCCCUUAUAUGCCAACCAUUGCUUUAAUCUAUUUUCUACUCUCCUUGUUUAAUCAUCAACCAUUACCUUUCAUAUGGUGGAUACUCAAUAAAUACUGAAUAUAUAAACUCUCUUAUUCAAACCUUAUGAUAUAAAGCAAAUUAUCUGUGUCAAGUGCUUGAGGGCAAAGCAGCAUUAAAUUUAUCAUAAGUAGAAAAUAUUGCCUUAGAACUUAGUGGACUGAAAGUGCCUUGAGGGAGGAAGUAGAACAAUCAGAUGAGAAGAGAGAAGGUAGGUAAUAGGAAAGAGGAAAUAAUAAGAAAAACUUGUUUAUGAUCCACAAAUUCUCCUUUAGUUAUGAACAAAAGGAAAAAAUGCUUUUUCAUAAGCAAUCGAAAAAUAAAUGUUGCCAUUUAAAUCAUUUCUGUGAAAGCAAAGAUGUCAUUUAAAAUUUAAUAACACUUGUCCAGAAUAUUGUUUUAUUAUUUUUACAAUAAAGUAUGGAAAAUGUAAUAACAAAGGAUAAAGUAAUAAAUCAAGUUGCCAGCAUGAUAAAAAAAUUAUUAGAGCGAUAUCAAAUUUAACUGGACUCUCAUUUAAUGGGGUGAUAGAAAGCUAAUAAAAAUAGUUUUGAGGCAACAGGCAAUACGUGACUCCAACUCACACAACUUUAAUAGUCAGGAAGAAGGGGUCUGGUUACACAAAAUAAUAAUAUGUGUCAUUUUCCGCAACUAAAAUUUCAUUGUCUGAGACUUGUUUGGGAUUGUGCUCUAAUUUAGUAACGCUUAUUUUAAUUGUAUUUUUGCAAUGAAGUAGACUUCACUUUCUGUCAAGUGUCAUCAAUUCAGUUUUCAAAGCUGUAUGUCUCCACACACACCUACCUAUACUAGUACUAGUAAUAAUAAAAUAAGAAUUCUUCAGAAUGAGAGAAUAACUGGGUCAGAAUGUUAUUCUGUUGAAACUGCAUCAUUUUCCUACACAAGUGAAAAUCAGCAAGGUAUUGUGACAUACAAGUGCCAAUAUAUUGAAGGUAUAGAAUCAAAUACUUUUAGAGGUUCAAUGCACUUUAAAGGUCAUCCCCAAUUUUCUACUCCCUUAGGAAUCUUUUCAAUAACAUCUCUGGCAGAUGACUGUAUAACUGUAGUGGUAGUAUUAAGUAUCCAUUUGUUUACUUAACAAAAUAAUUAUUGGUCUUUUUGCAUGCUACAGACAUCAUGCUAGGAGGGUGUUUGCUAGAUAUCAUAUGCCACAUGUUGUGGAGGCCUAUCUUUAGAAUGUUCUUCCCACUCUACAGUGGGGUAAAAUUCAAACUUUAUGACCCAUCAACAGCCAUGCAUUUUUUAAAAUUAAUCAUUUAGUUAAAAUUUCUAUGUAUAUUACGCUUCAUGAUCCAAAUAACUAAAUUUAAUUGUUAGGUAGAGAAAUUCUUAUAGUUCCAUUUAAUUACACUUUUUUAUCAGAAUAGUAAUCUUUAUUAAAAUAUCAAGGCUUAUCAAUGUAAAGAACACCAGGUCAGGCAUGGUGGCUCAUGCCUGUAAUCCCAGUACUUUGGGAAGCCAAGGCAGGUGGAUCAAUUGAGCCAAGGAGCUCAAGGUUGCAGUGAGGUAUGAUCUUGACACUGCACUCCAGAUUGGGCAAAAUAAAUAAAUAGAUACAUUUUUAAAAAAAAAUUUAAAAACCCAUUUAAGAGAGGAUAUAUACUGAGCAAAGUAAAUAUCUAGGGUACACUUUAUCUUCGUAUUCUUAACUGUUUUUUAACAAUGUGCUGUAAUUCCCAAUCAUGUUUCACGAAGAGAUUUCCCUCUUCUAUAGGUUAAUCAAAAUAUAACAUAUUUUCUUAACUUUGAAUUACAAGUCUCUCUUGAAUUUAAAACUGAUGCAGAGCUUAUGCAACUCCUUUGCCUUCUGCCAUGAUUAUGAUGCCUACCCAGCCAUGCUGAACUGUGAGUCCAUUAAACCUCUUUCCUAUAUAAAUUACCCAGUCUUGAGUAUGUCUUUAUUUGCAGUGUGACAACAGGCUAGUGCAAUAUAUGCAAAGUUUCUGGCACAUAUAAAAUUAAAAGUAUCAAGGCAUGGAACACUGUGGAUAGUAUAUAAAUGUGUUUUUAAAAGCCCUUAAUUUUUAAUGGACCUAAAUUUUCUGAAAGAAUACUAGGCGGAAGGGAAGAUUACACACAUGUACACAAACACACUAUGAAAUGUUUAAAAUUUAAAAUUUCUCUAAAGGGUUAUCAUUUAAAGCAAAAAAGGAACAAUAUUGUAUUGUAGCAUUAAAAACAUAUUUAGAAGACGUAAGAAGAGCACAAAGGACAGGAAAAUGUUAAAUGGGAUUACGCUGUUGCAAAUUUUACACAUUGUUUCACUGUAGAUAAGCAAAAUAUGCAUACAGUAAUCUCUAGGGAAGUCAAAGAGAGAAAUGUUAUAAAAAGGGUAUCUCAAGAAUUUGUAAAGGAAAUACAAAUAAAAUACUAGAAAAACAUAUUACUCAUCAAAAAAGGGCAGAUAAAGAUCUGCAGAACAAAAUAUAUAUUAGUAUUUGGAACAAAUAUCAAUACUUAGAAUAAAUGGAAAGAAAAGAAACACUCCAAUUAAAAGACUUUGAUUAUAAGACUGAAUUAAAAAAACAAGGUCUGCCUAUAUGCCAUCUAAAAGGAAUAUUAAAUAAAAAAGACAAAGACUGCGUUAAAAUAAGAGCUUGAGGAAACUUCACUUUGAGAACCCUAAGCAUAAGAAAGUAGAAGUAAGUAUAUUAACAUCAAAGUCUAGUGUACUUCAUGACCAAAAAUAUUGUCAAAAAUCUGUGUGCUCACAAUAAUAGACUUUCAAAAUACAAAAGCAAAAUUAAUAAACGUAAAAGAAAAAUUAAAAUGCCCAAACAACUGGAAAUAUUAACACUACCCUCUCAAAAAUGGAUAGGACUCAUAAAAAUCAAUGCAGACAUGAUAUUUUUGAACAGCUAUAAAUCUUAAUUGACAUUGAUAGAACACUACAUCUAACAGUUGAAGAAUAUAUAUUAUUUUCGAGUGUGCAUUAAACAUUCACCAAAAUAGACAAAAUGCUUUGUCAUAAAACAUAAGAUCAAAGAAUCAAAAUAAUACAGAGUAUAUUCUCUGAGCACAACAACAUUGAUUUAGAAAUCAGUAGAAAAGACAUAUACUCUGAGUAUCUGUAAUAAUCCAUGGCUCAAUGAAGAAAUCUAAAGAAAAAUUAGAAGAUCUUUUUAGUGUUCUGCUAAAAUGGUGUUUAGAGUAAAAUUUUUAGAUUUAAGUGCCUGUAGUAGAAAGGAAAAUGCCUGGGUAGAAAAGCAGUGAUCUAAAUAUCCACCAUAAGAAGGUAGAAAUGUGUGAAUUUUUUUAAGCAGGUAGAAAAAUAAUAAUAAACAAUAAGAUCUCAUCAUACUGUACCCCAUAACAUGCCCAAUUAGUAUAUGUCAAUGAAAACUAAAAUACACAUAAAAAAGAACAAAAUCAAUCUAUAGGUCAAUGAUGAAGAAAAAUAACGAACAAAAUUAAUGCUAAGGCCAAUAAUGAAGAAACAUUUUUUUAAAUGGAAUAUUGGUUCCUGAAAAAGAUUGAUAAACUUCUAGAGAAACUGAUCAAAGUUAAAGAGAAAGAGAAAAAAAACUAGCAAGAAAAUACAAAAUGACAAUAUCUAGAAUUAAAGAAAUGGGUAUAAUUAGAAAGCUUUCUUAUAUUAAAAUGGUGAUAAGGAGUAUAAACCACUUAGUGUCAAAAAUUAGAAAAUUUGGAUAAAAUAUUGAAAACAAAUCUCAGGACCAAGGCUUUAUCUCUAUUCCUUCUGAAACAUUAGUGAGCUCAAAAAUCACUCUGAGGUUCUUGUUAAAAUGCAGAUUUUUAUUCAGAGUUCUAGAGUGAGACUCAAGAUGGUGCAUUUGUAACAAACUCCCAUUUGAUACUGAUGCUGAUAAAGUAACUAUACUAUAUGAGAAGAGAUAUCCACUAUGCUCUUACAAUCCUUUUGUGUAUUGAAUGAAUUUGUAAGCAUAAAGGACAGUUUGCUUUGAUCUGGAAUCCAGGGAAGGAGCACCAAAGACAUGGGAUAUUGACUUUAUAAGUAUUUGAAUGGUCACCAGGUUGUAACAGGCACCUGGGUACAAGGAGAAGAAUCUACGUAUUACUUGGAGAGAAAUGAAAAUAAAAUUCUAAAAACACGUAAACAAAAAAUCCACAAAAUACACUACUUCACAAGCUUCAUGCAUCCUUCUUGAACUGGAUCCUACUGAUUCCAAGCCAGAAGGGUGAAGAUACCUAAGCUAGAAGAGAAGCUAUGAUAUAACUUUGAUAAUGGGUAUAAUGGAAACCUGUACCUCUUUUUGUUUUUUCUCCCUUUUAAUAAUGGAGGUAAAUUUUCAAAAAAAAUACUAAAAAUAGCAAAAAUAAUACAAUUAAGUAAAGAUCACAUUUAAAAGGGCCCUUGAUUUGCGGGAAAAAAAUCAAGUGUAAAAUUUUUCUUGCUAUAAUAAUCUUUUAGGCUAUGUCAUUUUAGUGAAAAAAUGUAAUUUGACAACGUUAAAAGAGAGUCACUAGUCUUCAAAAAUAGUUAAUCUUCAAAAUUACAACUAAGGUACUUUUCUCAUUUAAAAGCUGCACAGUCAAUACAAAGUGUGUUUUGCCUCAUAUUAACACUGUGUGUCUCUAAAGCUCAGCAUAAAGCAUGUACAGAUCAAACUAUUUUCUCUUUGAUUUAUAUUUUUAUUUCAGUAAUAUUUUGCAUUCUAUUCUGAUUAAUUGUAAAUAAGCACCGACAUCUAAGUUAGGAUAAUGUUGCUUGAAAAACCUUAGAAAUUUACUAAGAUAAAAUAGCAGACAAAAAGUAACCAAUUAUAUCACAGAGCAUCAUAAAAUAGCUACUUGGCUUUUGCAGCAUGCUAAUUUCUUGGACAGUGGAUUUAAUUCAGAGUGUGGUCUGAGGACUGAAGUUCCAGAAAAUCACCUUUAUAAGCAGACUCCAAAUUAAUCAGGCCCUCAAUUUUGUAGGAUAUGUGUGCACAAAGCAGAAUAUUAAAACAUAGAGAUGGUAGAUGUUUUUUCCUCCUGAAUGUAUUUCACUGUCUGAUGUGGCACAUGCCUUUCCUGGAAUCAUGAUUUCUAAGAACCUGAAUUCAGAGCCUUAAGAUGACUUACUGCAUGAACUCAGAGCACAGGAAACUGGGCUAAAGGGUAUGUUAGGCCAUGGAAAAUCCUGGUGAUGUCUGUCAUCACAGGAUGUGCCUGUGUAGUGAUUAGAGGGCUGUGUAGUAAAGUUUGCAUUACCCUAAUCUGGUGUCUCUACCUAUAGACUUUGUUAGAUAAACACUGAUGAUUCUUCCACUGCCUUUGCUUCAUGUUGCUGAUCUCCACGCAGACCAAGCACCUUCCUCCUGUUCACUCAUUUUUUUCUUCAGGCACUGUGGUAGGCAGAAAAGAAAUGGCCCCUAAAGAUGCCCACAUCCUCUCUCCUGGAACCUGAAAAUAUGCAAUGCUCAGUAGCAAAGGGAAGGUAAAGUCACAGAUGGAAUUAAGGUUGCUAAUUAACCAACUUUAAGAUAAGGACUAUUCUAGAUUCUAGGUUAUCCAAGUAGGAUGAAUGUGAUCACAAGGGUUCUUAAAUGUGGAAAGGGGAGGCAGAAGAGUUAGUCUCAGAGUGAGGCAGUAUGAGGUGACUAGACUGGCCAUCACUGGCUUUGGAGGUGGUAGGGGACCAGGAGCCUAGAAAUGCUAGCAGCUUCAAGAAGCUGAAAAAGGCGAGUAAAUGAAUCCAUCCCUCGAACCUCCAGAAAGAAAUCUGCCCUGCUAACACCUCAGUUUUAGUCUAGUGAGACCCAUUUCAGACUUUUGACACUGAGAACUGUGAGAUAACAAAUUUGUGUUGUUUCAAGCUGCCCAACUUGGGGUCACUUGUUACAGCAGCCAAUAGCAUGGGCAUAUUAUUAUGUCCUGUUGCUUUACUUUUGUCUUAGGAAAUAUCUUGUAUUUUAAAGGGGUUUUUACCACUGAGAAUUUCAUCCAGUGUGAGUUGUCUAUAAUGAAGACCAACUUAUUGAUGACUUACCUUACUGUAGUUUUCUAUAUAUUGACAACAAAAGCAUGGGAUAUGGAGUAAAAUAGUUGGAGUUCCAACUCUGGUUUUUCACUUGAUGGUUCUGAGUUCUCUAAUCAAUUUGUUUUAAAGACUAUCAAUUUCCUAAACCACUAUGUUUACUCAGCUGUACGUAACUGACCUGACACAUAGGAUGUUUUGAAGUUCAAAUUGGAGAAUGAUACAUAAUUAAGAUAAUCAACUUGUUUUCUUAAUUUACAAUGAUAGACAUUAAGACUGAAAGGGAAUACUAUUUAGAAGCUGACUAGCUUAGCAGGAGAUAUUUGCCCUAUACCACUGUUUUUAAAACUCUGCCACUAGGCCGGUUGCGGUGGCUCUCGCCUGUAAUCCCAGCACUUUGGGAGGCCGAGGCAGUCGGAUCAAGAAGUCAGGAGAUCGAGACCAUCCUGGCUAACAUGGUGGAACCCCGUCUCUAUUAAAAAUACAAAAAAUUAGCCGGGCAUGGUGGCUGGCGCCUGUAGUCCCAGCUACUCAGGAGGCUGAGGCAGGAGAAUCUCUUGAACCCAGGAGGCAGAGGUUGCAGUGAGCUGAGAUCGCACCACUGUACUCCAGCCUGGGUAGCAGAAUGAGACUCCAUCAAAAAAAAAAAAAAAAGCCCUCUGCCAUUAAUUUUGGUGGGAAGCUUGGUUGAGAUAGGCAAAGGUUGAAGGAAGGGAGAGGUUGGGUGGUGAACUAAUUUACUCCUUACCCACACUCGAUUUAAACCAAAGCAAUACCAAUCUGUGUAAAAUAGAAUUUGAAGUAAAGGGAGAGGGUUCAAAAAAGUUGAGAACGCUUGCACCGUAUUAUGUGCAAAUGCCAGGUCCAUGUAACCUUGAAUAGUUCCUCUGGCCUGUCUAUGUGAACAUUUGGAGAUGCACAGUUCCUAUAAGCAGGUGCAUAGAAACAGAAGGGUACAUAUUUGCAUAUAGGAUUAAAAGAAAUGACUUCCGUAAAACGUCUAGCACAGAGCUACAGAGUGUAUUUUUAAUACAUUACAGUUCUUGAGUAAAGAUGAUUAUUUGAUAACACUAAGUGAUAUGAAGCCAAGAAAUGUAGUAGUGUUCGAAUCCUUUCCACCUCCCUUACUCUUGGGUUCUGACUUUAGAAACUAAGUAAUUCCAGGACAUAAGUGAAAACACAUUUCAACUGCCCUCUAUUAUACUUACUUGGUAAAUUAGCCUGCGCAUUAUUUUUAAAAUAAAUUUUGUUCUAUUGCUAAAAUGCCUUCUCUAGAAAGUUUCUGUCUGUUGAAUUCAUUAUUUAAAAUUGAAUCUUACUGCUUUGGGUAAAUAUCAGUAUGUUUACUAUAUAUUUGCAUUGUGCUGGCAUUAGGUAAGCAUUCAUACAGUGUUCCUUCUUAUGAAGAGUGACAUAUUUUAUAAGAGUGGAAAACCAUGGAAAUGAAUUCUCAUAGUUUAAUAAAAUAUAUCCAGUGUCUGUCUUGCAAAAUAUUGUAAUACCAUAUAGUUAAUAAUAUAAUAAUUAAUAUUCUUAAACAUUUCCAAAAGACCAAGUAUACUAUGAAAAAAUUUUUUUUAAAAGAAGACAUUUGGCCGGGCGCGGUGGCUCACGCCUGUAAUCCCAGCACUUUG